GAUGAACGCUAGCGGCAGGCCUAAUACAUGCAAGUCGAACGGUGUCUUCGGACAUAGUGGCGCACGGGUGCGUAACACGUAUGCAACCUACCUUACAUUGGGGGAUAGCUUUUCGAAAGGGAGAUUAAUACCGCAUAAGACAGUAGCUGGGCAUCCAGCAGCUGUUAAAGAUUUAUCGAUGUAAGCUGGGCAUGCGUCCAAUUAGCUAGUUGGUGAGGUAACGGCUCACCAAGGCAAUGAUUGGUAGGGGAACUGAAAGGUCAAUCCCCCACACUGGCACUGAGAUACGGGCCAGACUCCUACGGGAGGCAGCAGUAGGGAAUAUUGGGCAAUGGACGCAAGUCUGACCCAGCCAUGCCGCGUGCAGGAUAAAGGCGUUAUGCGUUGUAAACUGCUUUUAUACAGGAAGAAACGACUCUUGCGAGAGGCAUUGACGGUACUGUAUGAAUAAGCACCGGCUAACUCCGUGCCAGCCGCCGCGGUAA
rnacentral:rRNA from 1 species